GGUCCCGUAGCUCAGUCGGAUAGAGCGGCAGAUUCCUAAUCUGUAGGUCACAGGUUCGAUUCCUGUCGGGAUCACCA
rnacentral:tRNA from 1 species